AUUGAACGCUGGCGGCAGGCCUAACACAUGCAAGUCGAGCGCCCAGCAAUGGGAGCGGCGGACGGGUGAGUAACGCGUGGGAAUUUUUCCUGGAGUACGGAACAACCGAGGGAAACUUCGGCUAAUACCGUAUGAUAUCGAGAGAUCAAAGAUUUAUCGCUCUGGGGUGAGCCCGCGUCAGAUUAGGUAGUUGGUGGGGUAACGGCCUACCAAGCCUGCGAUCUGUAGCUGGUCUGAGAGGACGAUCAGCCACACUGGGACUGAGACACGGCCCAGACUCCUACGGGAGGCAGCAGUGGGGAAUCUUGCGCAAUGGGCGAAAGCCUGACGCAGCCAUGCCGCGUGAGUGAAGAAGGUCUUAGGAUUGUAAAGCUCUUUCGCUCGUGACGAUGAUGACGGUAACGAGAGAAGAAGCCCCGGCUAACUUCGUGCCAGCAGCCGCGGUAAGAC
rnacentral:rRNA from 1 species